rnacentral:rRNA from 1 species
ACUACGGGAGGCAGCAGUGGGGGAUAUUGCACAAUGGGGGAAACCCUGAUGCAGCGACGCCGCGUGAGUGAAGAAGUAUUUCGGUAUGUAAAGCUCUAUCAGCAGGGAAGAAAAAAGACGGUACCUGACUAAGAAGCCCCGGCUAACUACGUGCCAGCAGCCGCGGUAAUACGUAGGGGGCAAGCGUUAUCCGGAUUUACUGGGUGGAAAGGGAGCGUAGACGGCAAUACAAGUCGGAAGUGAAAUACCCGGGCUCAACCUGGGAACGGCUUUGGAAACUGUAUGGCUGGAGUGCUGGAGAGGUAAGCGGAAUUCCUAGUGUAGCGGUGAAAUGCGUAGAUAUUAGGAGGAACACCAGUGGCGAAGGCGGCUUACUGGACAGUAACUGACGUUGAGGCUCGAAAGCGUGGGGAGCAAACAGGAUUAGAUACCCUUGUAGUC